rnacentral:rRNA from 1 species
GAUGAACGCUGGCGGCGUGCCUAAUACAUGCAAGUCGAGCGAACGGACGAGAAGCUUGCUUCUCUGAUGUUAGCGGCGGACGGGUGAGUAACACGUGGAUAACCUACCUAUAAGACUGGGAUAACUUCGGGAAACCGGAGCUAAUACCGGAUAAUAUUUUGAACCGCAUGGUUCAAAAGUGAAAGACGGUCUUGCUGUCACUUAUAGAUGGAUCCGCGCUGCAUUAGCUAGUUGGUAAGGUAACGGCUUACCAAGGCAACGAUGCAUAGCCGACCUGAGAGGGGGGACGGCCACACUGGAACUGAGACACGGUCCAGACUCCUACGGGAGGCAGCAGUAGGGAAUCUUCCGCAAUGGGCGAAAGCCUGACGGAGCAACGCCGCGUGAGUGAUGAAGGUCUUCGGAUCGUAAAACUCUGUUAUUAGGGAAGAACAUAUGUGUAAGUAACUGUGCACAUCUUGACGGUACCUAAUCAGAAAGCCACGGCUAACUACGUG